UCUACGGGAGGCAGCAGUGAGGAAUAUUGGUCAAUGGCCGGAAGGCUGAACCAGCCAAGCCGCGUGAAGGACGAAGGUGCCAAGCAUUGUAAACUUCUUUUGUCAAGGGACAAAAUCAGGCUCGAGAGCCUGACCGCGGGUACUUGAAGAAAAAGCAUCGGCUAACUCCGUGCCAGCAGCCGCGGUAAUACGGAGGAUGCGAGCGUUAUCCGGAUUUAUUGGGUUUAAAGGGUGCGUAGGGGGACUGUUAAGUCAGCGGUAAAAGCCCGGGGCUCAACCCCGGCGAGCCGUUGAUACUGGCAGUCUUGAGAUGUCGAGAGGUAUGCGGAAUGCGCGGUGUAGCGGUGAAAUGCUUAGAUAUUGCGCAGAACUCCGAUUGCGAAGGCAGCAUACCGGCGGCGAUCUGACGCUGAGGCACGAAAGCGUGGGUAUCGAACAGGAUUAGAUACCCGAGUAGUC
rnacentral:rRNA from 1 species